rnacentral:rRNA from 1 species
GACGAACGCUGGCGGCGUGCUUAACACAUGCAAGUCGAACGAAGUGGCGAACGGGUGAGGAAUACGUGAGUACCCUGCCCUCCUUGUUGGGAUACGCCUUGGAAACCGGGUCUAAUACCGAAUCAGGGGGGUUGGGCCCGCGGCCUAGCAGCUGGUUGGAGGGGUGAUGGACUAGCAGGCCGGUGACGGGUAGCGGGCCUGAGAGGGUGACCGGUCAAAUGAGGACUGGGCUACGGCCCUGAGUGCGACGGGAGGGGGCAGUGGUGGAUAAGGGACAAUGGCCGAAUGCCUGAUGCCGCUGCGCCUCGUGGGGGAUUAAGGCUUUUGGGUUGUAAACAUCUGUCGCGAUCGAACGGGUAGGUGGAGAAGAAGCGCCGGCUAACUACGUGCCAGCAGCCGCGGUAAUAC